rnacentral:misc_RNA from 1 species
GGAUCUUCUAGGGGUGGUGAUGAAUCUGCUAAAAGAGAUCCAGUUGGAGCCUUGCCUGGUCAAAAUUCCCAGCAAUACAUGCAGCCGGGAGCAUUAACCUACAUAAACACUCAAGGACAGCAUAUGAUCAUUCCUUCAAUGCAGAAUAAUGAAUAGGAGUCUCCUGCAUUUCCACUUGGAUUGCCUGAAAUCUGAGGCUGGUAGAAGCGUU